rnacentral:rRNA from 1 species
GUACUCGGUGUUACUGCGAAGGGGGGACGGAGAAGGCUAUGUUAGCCGGGCGACGGUUGUCCCGGUUUAAGCAUGUAGGCGGAGGUUCCAGGUAAAUCCGGUACCUUAUUAACGCUGAGGUGUGAUGACGAGGCACUACGGUGCUGAAGUGAUAAAUGCCCUGCUUCCAGGAAAAGCCUCUAAGCAUCAGGUAACACGAAAUCGUACCCCAAACCGACACAGGUGGUCAGGUAGAGAAUACCAAGGCGCUUGAGAGAACUCGGGUGAAGGAACUAGGCAAAAUGGUGCCGUAACUUCGGGAGAAGGCACGCUGAUAUGUAGGUGAAGUCCCUGCGGGCGGAGCUGAAAUCAGUCGAAGAUACCAGCUGGCUGCAACUGUUUAUUAAAAACACAGCACUGUGCAAACACGAAAGUGGACGUAUACGGUGUGACGCCUGCCCGGUGCCGGAAGGUUAAUUGAUGGGGUUAGCGGCAACGCGAAGCUCUUGAUCGAAGCCCCGGUAAACGGCGGCCGUAACUAUAACGGUCCUAAGGUAGCGAAAUUCCUUGUCGGGUAAGUUCCGACCUGCACGAAUGGCGUAAUGAUGGCCAGGCUGUCUCCACCCGAGACUCAGUGAAAUUGAACUCGCUGUGAAGAUGCAGUGUACCCGCGGCAAGACGGAAAGACCCCGUGAACCUUUACUAUAGCUUGACACUGAACAUUGAGCCUUGAUGUGUAGGAUAGGUGGGAGGCUUUGAAGCGUGGACGCCAGUCUGCGUGGAGCCAACCUUGAAAUACCACCCUUUAAUGGCUGGUGUUCUAACGUAGACCCGUAAUCCGGGUUGCGGACAGUGUCUGGUGGGUAGUUUGACUGGGGCGGUCUCCUCCCAAAGAGUAACGGAGGAGCACGAAGGUUAGCUAAUCCUGGUCGGACAUCAGGAGGUUAGUGCAAUGGCAUAAGCUAGCUUGACUGCGAGAGUGACGGCUCGAGCAGGUGCGAAAGCAGGUCAUAGUGAUCCGGUGGUUCUGAAUGGAAGGGCCAUCGCUCAACGGAUAAAAGGUACUCCGGGGAUAACAGGCUGAUA